GGCUUUGUAGCUUAGCUGGUAGAGCGCUUGCCACGUUGAGUCAUCGCUGGUUCGAAUUCAGCCGAAGCCU